rnacentral:rRNA from 1 species
UGGAAACUNUCUGACUUGAGUGCAGAAGGGGAGAGUGGAAUUCCAUGUGUAGCGGUGAAAUGCGUAGAUAUAUGGAGGAACACCAGUGGCGAAAGCGGCUCUCUGNUCUGUCACUGACGCUGAGGCUCGAAAGCGUGGGUAGCGAACAGGAUUAGAUACCCUGGUAGUCCACGCCGUAAACGAUGAGUGCUAGGUGUUAGGCCCUUUCCGGGGCUUAGUGCCGGAGUUAACGCAAUAAGCACUCCGCCUGGGGAGUACGACCGCAAGGUUGAAACUCAAAGGAAUUGACGGGGGCCCGCACAAGCGGUGGAGCAUGUGGUUUAAUUCGAAGCAACGCGAAGAACCUUACCAGGUCUUGACAUCCCGAUGCUAUUCUUAGAGAUAGGAAGUUACUUCGGUACAUCGGAGACAGGUGGUGCAUGGUUGUCGUCAGCUCGUGUCGUGAGAUGUUGGGUUAAGUCCCGCAACGAGCGCAACCCUUAUUGUUAGUUGCCAUCAUUAAGUUGGGCACUCUAGCGAGACUGCCGGUAAUAAACCGGAGGAAGGUGGGGAUGACGUCAAAUCAUCAUGCCCCUUAUGACCUGGGCUACACACGUGCUACAGUGGUCGGUACAACGAGUUGCGAGCCGGUGACGGCAAGCUAAUCUCUGAAAGCCGAUCUCAGUUCGGAUUGGAGGCUGCAACUCGCCUCCAUGAAGUCGGAAUCGCUAGUAAUCGCGGAUCAGCACGCCGCGGUGAAUACGUUCCCGGGCCUUGUACACACCGCCCGUCACACCACGAGAGUUUGUAACACCCGAAGUCGGUGAGG